rnacentral:rRNA from 1 species
CAGUCCUUCGGGACUGGGACAGCGGCGAACGGGUGAGUAACACGUGGGUAAUCUGCCCUCGAUUCUGGGAUAGCCCGGGGAAACCCGGAUUAAUACCGGAUAGCCUCUCGAGCUUUCGAGCUUGUGAGAAAAGGUAGCUUCGGCCUCCGAUCGAGGAUGAGCCCGCGGCGGAUUAGCUUGUUGGUGGGGUAAUGGCCUACCAAGGCGACGAUCCGUAGCUGGUCUGAGAGGACGAUCAGCCACACUGGGACUGAGACACGGCCCAGACUCCUACGGGAGGCAGCAGUGGGGAAUCUUGCGCAAUGGGCGAAAGCCUGACGCAGCGACGCCGCGUGGGGGAAGAAGGCCUUCGGGUUGUAAACCUCUUUCAGCAGGGACGAAGCCACUCGGGUUAAUAGCCCAGAGGGUGACGGUACCUGCAGAAGAAGCCCCGGCUAACUACGUGCCAGCAGCCGCGGUAAUACGUAGGGGGCAAGCGUUGUCCGGAUUUAUUGGGCGUAAAGAGCGUGUAGGCGGCCAGACAAGUCCGUUGUGAAAACUAGAGGCUUAACCUCUAGACGUCGAUGGAAACUGUUUGGCUAGAGUCCGGAAGAGGAGAAUGGAAUUCCUGGUGUAGCGGUGAAAUGCGCAGAUAUCAGGAAGAACACCCGUGGCUAAGGCGGUUCUCUAGUACGGUACUGACGCUGAGACGCGAAAGCGUGGGGAGCGAACAGGAUUAGAUACCCUGGUAGUCCACGCCGUAAACGAUGGGUGCUAGGUGUGGGGGGGUGUCGACUCCCUCCGUGCCGAAGCUAACGCAUUAAGCACCCCGCCUGGGGAGUAC